rnacentral:rRNA from 1 species
AUGGGGCCGGCACGCUGCGCCAGUGGCCGCCUCUGGCUCCUCCUCCUGGCGCUCGCCGUCGCAGACUUCACGGCGGCGCAGCAGAACCAGAACCCGCCCCCGCCGGGCGGGCAGUACUACACGAACUUCAGCCCGUCCAUGGCCAUCGUCAUCGUCGUCCUCAUCGCCGCCUUCUUCUUCCUCGGCUUCUUCUCCGUCUACAUCCGCCACUGCUACGGCGACAGCCCCUACUCGGCCACCACGCUCCCGCUCGGCGCCGCGGCCGCGCGCUCGCGGCGGCAGCAGCGCGGGCUCGACCCGGCCGUGCUCGAGACCUUCCCCACCAUGGCGUACGCCGACGUCAAGGAGCACAAGGCCGUCAAGGGCGCGCUCGAGUGCGCCGUCUGCCUCAGCGAGUUCGACGACGACGAGACGCUCCGCCUCCUGCCCAAGUGCUCCCACGUCUUCCACCCGGACUGCAUCGACACCUGGCUCGCGUCCCACGUGACGUGCCCGGUCUGCCGCGCCAACCUCGUCCCCGACGGCGACGCCGACGCCCCGGCCGCCGGCGAUCAGCCGGCCGAGCUGUCGAGCGUCCAUCCCGCCCCGCAGCCGCAGGAAUUACCGGCGCCUGAGGCGGAGGCGGCGCACGCCGUCGUCAUCGACGUGGAGGAGAGCGAGGACGAGAGGAUCAUACGGGAGGAGACGGACGAGCUGACGCGCAUCGGCAGCCUGAAGCGCGCGCUGCGGUCCAAGUCCAGCCGCGGGCCGGCGCGCUUCCCGCGCUCGCACUCCACAGGCCACUCGCUCGCCACGCGGGCCAGCACCGGCGCCGGCGCCGAGAGGUUCACGCUGCGGCUGCCCGAGGGCGUGCUCCGGGAGGUGGUCGCGGCCGGCAAGCUCCGGCGGACGAAGAGCCUCGUCGCGUUCACCGCCGGCCGCCAGGGCAGCAUGCGCCGUGCCCUCCGACUGGGCGCCGGCGGCGGCGACGGGAGCAGCCGCGGCGGGAGGAGCGUGCGGCUGGGCCAGUCCGGGCGGUGGCCGUCGUUCCUGUCGCGGACCUUCUCCGCGGCGUGGGGGUCGAGGUCGACACGGAGGGCCGAGUCGGACGGGUCGAGCAAGGGCGGGAAGCCGGCCGGCGCCGGCGGCAAGUCAGUGGAGUGCAACGACCAGGCGUGCGCGGCUGGGCAGCGUGUUUAG